UGGGGAAUAUUGGACAAUGGGCGCAAGCCUGAUCCAGCCAUGCCGCGUGAGUGAUGAAGGCCCUAGGGUUGUAAAGCUCUUUCACCGGUGAAGAUAAUGACGGUAACCGGAGAAGAAGCCCCGGCUAACUUCGUGCCAGCAGCCGCGGUAAUACGAAGGGGGCUAGCGUUGUUCGGAUUUACUGGGCGUAAGGCGCACGUAGGCGGACUAUUAAGUCAGGGGUGAAAUCCCGGGGCUCAACCCCGGAACUGCCUUUGAUACUGGUAGUCUUGAGUUAGGGAGAGGUGAGUGGAAUUCCGGGGGUAGAGGUGAAAUUCGUAGAGAUUCGGAGGAACACCAGUGGCGAAGGAGGCUCACUGGCUCGAUACUGACGCUGAGGUGCGAAAGCGUGGGGAGCAAACAGG
rnacentral:rRNA from 1 species